rnacentral:rRNA from 1 species
CAGUAGCCACGGGAAUACGGAGGGCGCGAGCGUUACCCGGAUUUACUGGGCGUAAAUGGCGUGUAGGCGGCCUGGGGCGUCCCAUGUGAAAGGCCACGGCUCAACCGUGGAGGAGCGUGGGAUACGCUCAGGCUAGAGGGUGGGAGAGGGUGGUGGAAUUCCCGGAGUAGCGGUGAAAUGCGCAGAUACCGGGAGGAACGCCGAUGGCGAAGGCAGCCACCUGGCCCACUUCUGACGCUGAGGCGCGAAAGCGUGGGGAGCAAACCGGAUUAGAUACCCCCGUAGUCCCUGUCUCUUAUAC